GGCCCUUUAGCUCAGCGGUGAGAGCAGUCGGCUCAUAACCGAUUGGUCGCUGGUUCAAACCCAGCAAGGGCCACCA
rnacentral:tRNA from 3 species